rnacentral:rRNA from 1 species
UACGUAGGGCGCAAGCGUUAUCCGGAAUUAUUGGGCGUAAAGAGCUCGUAGGCGGUUUUGUCGCGUCUGCCGUGAAAAGUCCCGGGGGCUCAACUCCGGAUCUGCGGUGGGUACGGGGCAGACUAGAGUGAUGUAGGGGGAGACUGGAAUUCCCGGUGUAGCGGUGAAAAUGUGUAGAGAUCGGGGAGGAACACCGGUGGCGAAGGCGGUCUUCUGGACGGUGACUGACGCUGAGGCGCGAAAGCGUGGGGGAGCAAACGGG